GGGUCGCUAGCUCAGCUGGCAGAGCAGGUGGCUUUUAACCAUCUGGUCAUUGGUUCGAAUCCAAUGCGGCCCACCA
rnacentral:tRNA from 1 species